rnacentral:rRNA from 1 species
UACGUAGGGGGCGAGCGUUGUCCGGAAUGAUUGGGCGUAAAGGGCGUGUAGGCGGCAGGCUAAGUCUGGAGUGAAAGUCCUGUUUUCAAGAUGGGAAUUGCUUUGGAUACUGGUCAGCUUGAGUGCAGGAGAGGUUAUCGGGAUUCCCGGUGUAGCGGUGGAAUGCGUAGAGAUCGGGAGGAACACCAGUGGCGAAGGCGGGUAACUGGACUGCAACCGACGCUGAGGUGCGAAAGUGUGGGGAGCAAAC